AGUGUAUGCAGAAUAGCACUCCAGGGUCGUACAGUUUGUUUGGCGGUUUCGGCACAGAGUAUAGGUUAGGUAGGCAACGGAAACGAAAUUUAUAACGUACAAAAAGUGUACCAAAAGGUGGAAACCACGAAAGAUUUUAGCAGCAUUCCAUUCGGACGCUCAUGAACUAUAAGCUUCAUUCUAUCUUCCUUUCAAAUAUAACGAGCGAUAAAAAUAGAAGGAAGCUUAGAGCAUGUGGACGUCUAAAUGGAACGCAACCUUCGGAAUAUUUCUUGAAUAAAGUAAUACGAGUGAUACAAAAGUGCGACAAAAAACACACGGAGCACGGAGAUUUGUAAGACGGACCUGAAAAUCAUUCAAGACAUAACGCCCAUUAUCAUCUCUGCGAGACCAUCGUAGGCCACGUUGGGUUGGGUGAAAAAGAAUUAAAUCAAGAAAAUAAGAAGCUACGUACGCCAGAAGCGGUAAAUAGAAGGUAAAAUGCCAAUAGCAUGGCCAAAGAAAUUGGCAGGUCUCUUCGAAUUCUUUGAAGAAAAUCGUAUUGGCGUUGGAGAGGUAAAUUGGAUCAUUUUGAACGAAACGUUAGAGUUACAAAAGGUGGAAAAUACUAUUGGUUAUCUUAAAGAGAUAAUAUUAAAAAAAAUAAUUGUCAAAGUCAAAGCCAGUGUCGAAUAAAAACAAAGCGACGAAUUAUUAUCCGGCAAAACUAUUACAAAUCGGAAAAUGGGACGAAAUGCGUCAAGCAUGCGAUAAUUUGGAAAAAUAUGAAACGAUGACUCCGAUUAAGGAAAAUCGUAAAUACGUUAGUAAACGCAAAGCCAACGACACUAGUAGUGAAGAAAGUGACAAUGAAGCAUCAGAAGUAGUUCAGCUUGUAGAUAGCAAG